rnacentral:lncRNA from 1 species
CUUAUGCUGGGCAACCAUUAAUCUGUUCUCCAUAAAAAUUUGUAAUUUUAAAAAUGUUUUAUAAACUGAUUUUUAUGUGAUCUGUAAUGUUUGUGAGGGUAUCUCUGUAUUAGUUUGCUAGGGCUGCCAUAAAAAAAUAGUGGGUAGCUUAAAUAACCGAAAUUUCUUUUCUCACAGUUCUGGAGGCUGGAAGUCCAAGAUCAAGGUGCUAUCAGGGUUGGUUUCGGCUGUGGCCUCUCUUCCUGGCUUGUAGACAGCUAUCUUCUCGCAGUGUCCUCACGUGGCCUCUUUGUGUGAAGUUAAAAAUGAACAGAUCAACCUUUUACUCUUCUCUGAAAAAUAUAGUGAAAUUAAUAAUCAAGAACGAUUUUCUGAAAUGAAAACAUCCGAACAGCAUACUGCAAAGACAUUCAGGGGAAAAUAAAAUAGGUUUUGGCAAACGUCUAAUGACACAGAGCCACCAUUGCCAAUUUCACCACUGUCUUUCACCAAGUUGAUUCAUUUUGAACUGGCUCCAGCAAUCUACUCAGAGUUGACCUCAGAGCAAAAAAUUGAACAACAGCUCCAUAUGUUGAUGUGAACUGUGACUCCAGGAGAACGGUGGAAAAGUGUCUUGAUCCAGGAAGGAAGGGGUAUAGAGAAAAUAUGAGUCUCACCACACUAGAAGCAACAUAUGCAAAAUCCAUCAAACACACCAUAAAAUCAAUGUGGGAGUAACAACACCUUGGCCUACUGCUCCCUGAAAAGUUUUUCUCUCGUCAAGUGAUGACAGGCGUACAUUUGUAAAUAAAUUACCAAGUUGCUUUUGAUUUGAUGGAGAAGGAAGAAAAGGAUUGUCUCCUGGAAGUAUUUUUAUUGUCUUAAUAGGUAGGAUAAUAUCUCUGUUCAGCAAACUGAGAUCUUUUGAGAAUCUUAACAAAUGUAUACCCCUCCCUCUCACCUUUUCCUCUCUGGUGUAUUUCAUAGGCAGCUUUGCUAACUGACUGCACUACUACAAAUAGAUUCUGUCACUUUAGAAAUAGGAUUUUUCCUUUUAUAGGCAGAUUGAUGGACUAAGUGUCAAGGUUUUAGAACAGUAGCAUGACUGGGGCAGACACUAUAAACCAUAAAUCCAGUAUUGACAAAUGUUCUAGCCAAUCCAGAUUUUCUAUUUGUUAAAUUGCCUUUAUGAAGUCAUACUUGUGCAGCACAGAAUAUGGAAAAUAAUUGACAAGUUCUGAGAAGCCAGUUACUGAGCUCAUAGUUUAAUAAAGAAAAUGUUAAUGAACACUUGAGUAUUAUAAAUUGUUAUAAGAAGAUUCUCUCUUCAUUGUUUGCCAAAGUAUGCUAAUAAUUCUUGACUGACUAAUAAGCAGAGGUCAUUCUAGAUCUACAGAUUUUGAAAGUUGGAACUUUUUAUUUGUACCUUUUGUUUCACUUGUCAAAGUGAGCUAGUAACAUAGAAUAAACUAUAAAAAAUAUGUAACAGAAUCAUAGCUUGAAAAACAUCUUCUUAGAAUUCAAAUUUAAUAUAAAUAUUUUAAGAAAAUUAUAUUUAUGCCAUUGUAAAAACAUUACUUGGGGACUCCCUAAAAAAAGGUAAUAAGGUAUCUCUCAAAAAAGCAUCAGAAUCAAAGAAUAUCCAGCAGCCAACAAUUCUCAUUUUAUAACCCUAAUUCCAAUAUUUGCACUAGAACAUCGGUUGUCCUUAUCCACGCUUCUGCACAGCAAAAGAAACUACCAUCAGGGUGAACAGGCAACCUACAGAAUGGAAGAAAAUUUUUGCCAUCUACUCAUCUGACAAAGGGCUAAUAUCCAGAAUCUACAAAGAACUCAAACAAAU